CCAUCUAUCCAUCGUCUGCAGCAAACGAUCCAUGGCGGUGCCCAGAUGUUGUAACUCGGUCGUGUGCUGUUGGACGCACUCUUCGAGUGAGAAAGGGGGGCCGUCUGCUCCUGCUGACUCCAUUUCAGCUGAUGCUGUCAUCAGGGUCCAUGGGCACUCAUCUCCAGAGGCCGGCAGCUCUGGUGUAGCCCCUCUCCGGCUUCCUCCUCUCCUCCUUGCGACUCUCCUGGAACCUCCAGAACUCACCCAUGCUCAACAGGCAGCAAUCCACUCCCAGUUAGAUGGGGUCCAUUAGGCCUCCAUCAGCUCCACAAUGCCCUGGGGGAUGUGAAGAACAUCCAGAACUCCCUGGCAGAAGUCAGCAAUGACUGGAGGCAAAGCAUCAACACCAUUGAAAACCUGAAGGCCGUAAAAUAUGCUGGGUUGCAUCCUGCAACACAGUCAGAUUGCCUCAGCCGUGAAGAACCGGAAGAAUAUGUAUUUAGGUAGACUACAGUAGUGAGUGUUGCAACCGAGGACAGACGAUUUGUACGCGCUACUCGCUUCAGCGGUCGGCAGUCCCAUUCUCUGAGCUUGUGUGGCCUACCACAUUGCAGCUGAGCCGUUGUUGCUCUCAGACGUUUCCACUUCGCAAUAAAAUCACUUACAUUUGACCGAGGCAGAUCUAGCAGGGCAGAAAUUUGACGAACUGACUUGUUGGAAAGGUUGCAUCUUAUGACAGUGCCACGUUGAAAGUCACUGAGCUCUUCAGUAAGGCCAUUCUAAUGCCAGUGUUUUGCUAUGGAGAUUGCACGGCUGUGUGCUUGAUUUUAUACACCUGUCAGCAACAGGUGUGGCUGAAAUAGCCCUAAUUUGAAGGGGUGUCCACAUACUUUUGUAUAUACCGUGUAUAUAUAUUAAUACAAAACACAGUCAUGGUAAGCACAAAUAAAUAACAAAUAAAAUCUCACAAAUCACCAAGAAAACAGUUACAUUCUUCCACAAAUAAUUUACCAAUCAAUACUUUAAAGUGCCUGAGCGGCACCCGAACAUCAAGAUGAAAUUAAUUUAGAAUUUAGUUCCAUUAAUAUGGUGCAUUAAAAUUAAAAGCAGACGUACCUAGCUAGGUGGAGACCCUAGGAACCUCAAGAGUUAACCAAUCCUGUGAAAGGGUUAGGCCACUCAGGUGUCUAUACUUCAACAGCAAAGUUAGAUAAGACAGAAGUUUAUGAAGUAGGGCAUUGAAAACAAUAAGGGAGUAAUGUAAAUAUCUAUGGGUCUUUAGUGAAGUCCAGAUAACCUUUUUAUACAGAAUGCAGUGAUUAUCAAAACUGUCAACUGUAACAAAAUUAAGGUCACUAUGAUAGAUGGCAUCCAACGUGUUAAGAGUAGUAGCAGCUGCACUUUGAUAAAUAAUAUCACCAUUAUCCAGAACAGAUAAAAGGUUGACUGAAUAAUCUGCUUCCUACUGUUUAGAGAAAGCCACAAUCUGUUUCUAUAGAAAAAGACAACUUCAAAUCUUAGCUUCUUAACCAACUUAUCUAUAUAUUUUUUAAACAUAUUAUCCAUAUAAAUACAAAUGCCUAAGUAUUCUGUUGAAGAAAUGUUUUUCAACAGAAUUGGCGGAAUGAAUACACUCCUGAUCGAAUGCAAACAAUUCGCUUUCAUAGAAGCCACAUACAAACACAUGAUCAUUUGAUGCAACAUUUUAUGUUUGCUUUUCUAAUAACCAAUUUCUGUGUUCAUGCAAGUGACUGACUGAACGUGCCUGAGAGGAAUCCUCACUAUCAGUAUCUGCAAUUUGGCAGUACCCCCAGAAUGUUUUUGGGAGAAUGGAAAGGGAUAUCUCAGUUUCAAGGUCUCAGCUUGGAGAGAAGAAGCCUCGUGAGGAUGUCGGUGGGAGGAGGUGGGAGGGUUGUCAGCGAAAUGGACACACCUGGGCUCGGGUGUGUCCCAGGAGAAAUAUACCUCUUCCACAUCUAUUGAGGAGACUCUCCAUGCAGACACACUUAUAGAUUUUAGUUGUGGCAUUUUUGUGGCCGUUUGUUUGCUUUGGCACCUUUCAACACCCCUCAUUAUCACAUUUAUGCACGCAAACACUCAUUUACACUAUUGAUUACUGACUACACACACCAUUGUUAAAUGUAGAGAGACUGAAAAACAGCUUCUAUCUCAAGGCCAUCAGACUGUUAAACAGCCAUCACUAACAUUGAGUGGCUGCUGCCAACAUACUGACUCAACUCCAUCCACUUUAAUAAUGGAAAAAUGUAUGUAAUCAAUUUAUCACUAGCCACUUUAUAUUAUAUAAUGUUUACUUACCCUACAUUACUCUUCUCUUAUGUAUAUACUGUACGCUAUACCAUCUACUGCAUCUUGCCAUCUGUUGUAAUUAAAUGUAUCACUAGCCACUUUAAACAAUGCCACUUUAUAUAAUGUUCUCAUACCAUACAUUGCUCAUCUCACAUGUAUAUACUGUACGCUACACCAUCUACUACAUCUUGCCAUCU
rnacentral:lncRNA from 1 species